AAGAGUGCUGGUGCUGGGCAUAAGGGUUCAUAGCCAUUCGCCGGACCGGUAACCCGUUGACUCCUUCGGGAAAUCGCCCGUGGCUCAUCAUCAUGCGCUCGGCCAUCGCUCUUCGCAUGGGGAGGAAAGCUCGUUCUGUCAGUGCUGUCCAGACCUUAUCCAAAGAGGAACCUUCUGGGGUUGGAGGACACAAGGUGGCAGAUGGGAUGAUCUUCAACCACAGGGAUAUAGCAAUCUGCUUUUGCCAUCCUCCUCUUCCCCAACCCUCAUUUCAAUCUCGGCCAAGCUGCACCUCUUCAACACUCCAGCAGGGGUCAGUGCUUCACAAAUAAAAGCAGGCACCCUUCCUCUCCUCUCUGUGGGUGCUGUUGGCUUGAAGCAGGCGUGACCGGACCAACCACCUUCCUCCACGGCACAGCUCACAGUUCUGUCCGUACAAAAUGAUGAGGGGUAUAAGCAGGGUAAAUGCAAGCAAACCUUUUCUAUGAAGGUUAGGUGACGUUAGAAAGGGAGGUAAUGGGUUAAGGGUGAAGGUGAGAUAUUCAAAGAGGAUCUGAAGGGGAACUUCAUCAUUCAGAGGGUAGUGAGACUGUGGAAGAAGCUGCCAGCUGUAGCAGGUUUGAUGGCAGCAUUUAAAGAAUGUUGGAUGGAAGGGGUAUGGAGAGUUAUGGUCCAGGUGUGGCUUGAUGGGACUAGGCAGAAUAACAAUUGGGCACAGAUUAAAUGGGCUGAAGGGCCAGUUUCAGUACUGUAGUGACUCUAUAAGUGGGAAGUGAGGGUGUCUCUAGUACAGCUGGCAUCUGCUGCCUCUGAGCUUGGUGAAUUACUCCCACAACAACCUCGUGUCCAAAGUCACACGUUGAAGAGCAUCAGUAAACACAAUCAAUCUUCUGAUAACUCAGCAGUUUUGCGGACAAUGUUGCCUUCUCUUUUUAAUUACUUGAACUUAAACUGCACUGGUGAAAUUCUGAACCCAUAUCCCAGGAGCCCUGGACACUAAUUGGCAACGAUUAGCACAUUAUUGUCACAUGGUUGCCUCAUCUUUGGAAGGGUGAGGAAGCUUUGGAGAGACUGCAGAGGAGAUUUUCCAGGAUACUGCCUGGAUUAGAGAACAUGUCUUAUCAGGACAGGCUGUGCAAGCUAGGCCUUUUCCCCUUGGAGUGAAGGAGGAUGAGAAGUGACUUGACAGAGGUGUAGAAGACGAUAAGAGGCACAGGUAGAGUGGUGGGUAGCUAGUGUCAUUUCCCUAGGGUGCAAGUGGAUAAAUCAGGAGAGUCUAGUUUUGAAGUGAAUGUAGGGGGGAUGUCAGAGGUAAUUUUUUGUAUACUGAAUGGUAGGUGUGUGAAGUGUUCUGGCAGAGUGCUGAAAAAGGCAGAUACAUUAGCGAUUUUUAAGAGACUCUUAGAUACUCAUGGAUGAAAGAAAAGCGGAGGGCUAUGUUGGAAGGAAGGGUUAGAUUGAUCUUAGAGUAGGUCAUAAGGUCAGGAACACAUCUGGGCUGAAGGGUCUGAACUGUGCUGUUAUGCUCUAUGUUCUAAGAUGAUAAGAAGGAUAGGCUGAGUGGGCAGCCAGAGAAUUUUCCCCAGAGUGGAAAUGGCUAAUAUGAGAGGGGAUAAUUUUAAGCUGAUUAGGGGGAGGUCAGAGGUAUGUUUUUUACACAGAGGCAGGUGCGUGGAAUGUAUUGUCAGGGAUAGUGAUAGAGGCUGAUGCAUUAGAGACAUUUAAGAGAUUCUUUGAUCGGCACAUGAUGAAAGAAAAGGAGAGUUAUGGGAGGGAAGGGUGAGAUUGAUUUUGGGGUAGGAUAAUGGGUCGGUAUAACAUUGUGAGCCAAAGGGCCUGUACCAAUCAAUGUUCUAUGUACUGAGAUACUGUGGAAAAACAUGCAAUCUAAACAGAUAAUUCCGAAACAUAAGUGCACUGGUUGGCUAAGUGGUGCCUCCAAAGACUGUGUUGGUAAAAGGCAUCAGUUUUUUACCUUAAUGAUUGUUGUGAAUUCAAUCUUUGCAAGUUUACCAUGUCCCAUCUUCUGACAUGCAAGUAAACCAUUUGGCCUAUCGAGUCUAUGUUGGCUAUCAAGGCAAACUCAUUAAUCAGAGAAAUACAGAGGAAAUUUACAAGGAUGUUGCCAGAACUUGAGACUCUGACUUGUAGGGAAAGGUUGAAAAGAUUAUGACUUUAUUUUGUAGAGCAGGGGUUUCCAGCCUGGGGUCCUUGACCCCUUGUUUAAUGGUAUUUGUCCACAGCAUUAAAAUGGUUGGGAAUCUCUGCCAUCGAGUCUAGGAGAACGGGAGGAGAUGAAAAUGAGAGGUAUACAAUAUUAUGAGGGAUAUAGAUAGCAAGCCGGAUUCCUCCCCCCACGCCCCUCUCUGGUUGGGUGAGAGCAUAACUACAGGUUUAUAGGUUAAGUGUGAAAGAUGAAAUAUUUAAGGGGAGCAUGAGGGGAAACUUCGUUACUCAGAGGGUGGUGUGAGUGUGGAACGAGCUGCCAGCAUGUGUCAUGUCCCGUCUUCAUUGUAACACUACAAGAGGUUUGGAUUAGGAAUUUAUGGAAGGGGUAUGGAGAGCCAUGGCCCAAGUGCAGGUAGAUGAGACUAGGCAGAAGACCAUGCAAGCAAGACUAGAUGGUCUGAAGGGCCUGUUUUUGAGCUGUAGUGCUAAAUUAAUUCUGUGCCUCUGGAAAGACAAGUUAAAUAGGGGCAGUCAGCAUAGUUUUGCACAUGUGAGAUCAUGUUUUGUAAACAAUAUUCUACAAUAUGGAAACAUGCUGACUCAGUUCAUGAGCUGGUCCCAUUUUCUUACCUUUAGCCCAUAUCCCCCUCAACCUUUCCUAUUCAUGUACCUGUCAAAAUAUUGCUGUAGUUGUACCUGCCUCUGCCACUUCUUCUGGCAAUUGUUCAACAGCUCCCACCAACCUCUGUAUAUAAAAAAAAAGACCCUCAAAUCCCCUGUGCCAUGUUAGUGUGAAGUUAUUGCAGCUUGGACAUUGGAGUUUGGAGUUCAAUUCUGGCGUCUCUGUAAUCCUCCUCGUGGAAAAUGUGGAUUUCCUCCCAGUGCUCUGGUUUCCUCUCACAGUCCAAAGAUGUGCCAGUUGAUUAGAGGUGGUAACAUUAACUACGAGCUAUGUCUGGAAUAUGACAAUGAAAAACAAUGAAGAGGCCCUCCAGGGUUAGAGAGGGCAUGCUGUAUAAGAACUUGGAUUGCAGAAAGGCUGGAGAAGACCUGGCAGAAGAUUAUAAAGUGACCAGAGGCCUAUCAAAGAGCCGAGAGCAGCAGCUUUCUCCUCAGGAUUGCAAACCAGAUUGAGGUGAGGGGGGAAAACUCAAAAGGCAUGCACGGGGCAAGGUUUUUUGAGAGUGGUAGGUGCCUGGAGUGUGCUGCCAGGGGUGGUGGGGUAGGCAAAUAAGAAGCAGUUACAUAGAUAUAUGAAUAUAUAGAGAGUGGAGGAUUGGAACAUGCGCAGUCAAAAGGGAUUAGGUGCAAUUAGCAUAAUUAGAUUGGAGCACUAUGGACUGAAGUACCUGUUUCUGUGCUGUACUGUGCAAUUUUCUAUGUUCUGUGUUCUUUUUCUAUGUAGAUACACACUAGUCCUCCAAGAGGACCACACCCUUGUGGUUUGGAAGCUUGCGAGCCUCAAUGACCUGGAGGGCUAUGCUGGCUGGAGUCGGGCCUUGUGCUUUGGCUCUUGGUAGGGUCACUCAUGCCAAGCAGGUCAAAGGGUAGAGGUCAGACUAGGAUUUGUCCACCAGUCCUCCAAGUUUGGGGGUUCAGCUCAGG